rnacentral:tRNA from 1 species
UGCUUUUUAGUUUAAGGAAAAUGUUGAUUUUGUAAUUCAAAGAUAAGAGAGAAGAUGUUAUCUCUUAUGGGCAG